rnacentral:rRNA from 1 species
UACAGAGGCCUCGAGCGUUAGGCGGAAUCACUGGGCUUAAAGCGUGUGUAGGCGGACUUCUAAGUACCUUGUGAAAUCCCACGGCUUACCCGUGGAACUGCUCGGUAUACUGGUUGUCUUGAGCUUUCUAGGGGCGAGCGGAACAAAUGGUGGAGCGGUGAAAUGCGUAGAUAUCAUUUGGAACGCCAAUGGUGAAAACAGCUCGCUGGGGAAAUGCUGACGCUGAGGCACGAAAGCGUGGGGAGCAAACAGG